ensembl:lncRNA
UGGAAAUAGCCUGGGUCCUGGAAGCCCUGGUGAGUCAGGGGAGACAGGGAGGCACUGGCAGACUGUGCUUCCUGUUCAGUUCAGUUCAGUCGCUCAGUCGUGUCUGACUCUUUGCGACCCCAUGGACGGCAGGCUUCCCUCUCCAUCACCAAUUCCCAGAGUUUACUCAAACUCAUGUCCAUUGAGUCAGUGAUGCCAUCCAACCAUCUCAUACUCUGUCGUCCCCUUCUCCUCAUGCCCCCAAUCCCUCCCAGCAUCAGGGUCUUUUCAAAUGAGUCGGUUCUUCACAUCAGGUGGCCAAAGUAUUGGAGCUUCAGCUUCGACAUCAGCCCUUCCAAUGAAUAUUCAGGACAGAAUAUUUGGUGCUUCCUGACCUUGAGCCAAUUCCAUCAUCCCCUAAGACCCCAUUGUAUCAUCUUUCACCAGAAGGAAUUUAAAUUCCAUACCGGGUCCCCUGGGUGACAGGUAUUCUUUGCAAAACAGUUCCUUGGUCAAGUAAGUUUAGGAAGUAUGAAGUUACACAAUAAAUAUAUUUUCAAUUGCAGGGCAUCCCAGAGCCGGCAAUAUCCAACAGCAGGAGAGUGUGGGUGGUGUUUCUCAAAGAUAUUUGAUCAUGGACCCCCCACCCCAUUGUUAUUGUCUGUUAGUGUCUUGAGAAUCUAGUGGUCUGUAGUGUACAGCUGGGGGCAUGCCACACCAGAUGAGUGUUCAAGCCCAGCCCACCUCCAUGGUCAACUGAUGAGCAGUAAUUCCAACUAUGGAACUUUGGCUUCAGGGGACAUGUAGAAGGCUGGAAUUCAAAGGACUCUUGGCCCUCAUACCCCAUUUUCAUCAACUAGACUUCUGAGUCAGUUUUAUCUUGGCAAGUGCUUUCUGGUACUAAAUACAAAACAGGAGAUCCAGUCUAUUGAGGAAAAGGUGCUGGAAUGUCAUAUUGUGGGCAUUGUGGGGACAGUUUUAGGGUCACAAGAUCAAGAGGGCUGUGUUCACACAUCUGCUGUAAAAGCUCCUCGGCAGCUUUGGGUGGGUAUUUUUGGCCCUCAUCACACCUUAGAAUUGCCUAGGGAUCUUUGACAAGAAGAUCCAGGCUUGAGAUCCAGGCUUUAGGUCACAGCACUACAGGAUUAUUUGCUGUGUGGCUACUUUGAAAAACAUUCCUCAAUUGAUUUGCCAAAACACAUCGUGUGAAACUUGGGGCAAGUCUCUCUGAUAUGAUUUCAGUUCACUGUUUUGUCCAUUUGGCUGGGAUGACAUUAGAGUAUAAUGCAUAUGGAAACCAACUUCAUGCAUCAUAAACUACCAACCCCUCUAAGAGGCGGUCAUCAACACAGAUCACACCAGUGGGGGAACCAGAAUAUUAUUGUUGCUUCAUUCACUCAGGGGUCCACUAGGCCAUGUGCUUACUCAAGGUGUGGGUGAAUCUUAUUAAUGCUUCUCUUAUAAAGCCUAACCAGUUGCUACACAAAGCAGAAAUUCAAUAGUUGCUGCAGAAUUAAGGAACAGGUAAAAGGUUAGUUGGACUUCCCUGGCUCAGUGGUAGAGAAUCCACCUUCCAAGCAGGAGAUGUGGGUUCAAUCCCUGGGUCGGGAAGAUUCCCUGGGAGAGGAAAUGGCAACCCACCCCAGUAUCUUUGCCUAGGAAAUCCCACCAACAGAGGAGCCUGACUGACUACAGUCCAUAGGGUCCUGAAAGAGUUGCACAUGACUUAGUGACUAAACAAGGACAAAGAAAGGAGGGAUAGAAGACUGCUAGGAUCUGAAAGGAAUGCAAUUGUAGAUAAGAUAAAGUUCCUUAUGUUGGGGAAUUCAAGAGCUGGAAGAGGUAAACAGAAACAUGCAAAUAACUUGAGUGGAGUAUAGUAAGUAUUACAAAAGAAGCAGACGAAAACAGUUUUGGAGUUUCUUAGGACAGAGAACUCAACAGAGUAGAGCUGAUCAGCUCAGUUCAGUUCAGUCGCUCAGUUUCAGACACGACUGAGGGACUGAACUGAACUGAUAGUAUGGUUAACUAUAGACACAAUGUUGUACAGUAGACCUCAACAAAUUGUUAAUCUUUUGAAGCUUUAAACCCAUAGGUCACUGAUCUCUGGAACGUAAUCUUCUUGCAUGACAAAGGCUGUACUCUUCUAAUCUUUGAGCCUGUGAAUUUGACUGUGUUAGAUACCUCACAUACACAGACUCAUACUGUUAACUGCAACAACAGACAAGCGUUGGUGAGGAUGUAGAGAAACUGGAACCCUUUACACUGUUGGGGUUGCGAAAUGGUGCAGCUGCCAUAGGAAACAGUAUGGAAGGUCCUCAGAACAUUACCAGUAGAACCCUUUGCUCUUCAGAUGCAGUACUUCAAUGCUUCUCACUGUGUUUGGAAUGAAAUCCAAACUGGUAACUACAGCCUGAAAGACCUCGCACAGUCUCUCCCUUCCCUCUUCUAUCUCACGUUCUCCUUGUUCACUCCUCCAACCACCAUGAUCUUUCAGUUCCCCCAACACCCGAUCUGCUGCUUCUCUGAGAGUCUCUGCUCAAGCUAUUCUGUCUUCUUGAGAUCCUCUGCCCCUGCUGUGUCUCAAUUGAAAGCUCACCUUCUCAUGGAGGCCAUUCUUGACCAUCAUGUUAGUCUGUGUCAGGGUGCUCUGCCUUAUAUUUUCCUUCAGGAGUUUCAUCAUAAGAAGGAAAUAUUAAUCUGCUCCUCUAAUUGUUACCGUGAA